CUAAUUUUCUUCAUCAAAAUGGAUCGGCUAUGACAGAGGAGGCUCCAAGCUUCAUUUCUUCAAAUUUCUUACAUUUGAUCAUUCAUUCUUCGAAGUAAUCGCAUAACCGCUACACCCAAAUGUUAGCAAAUGAAAGGAAAAAGGAUCGGCGAAAGAAGAAAUGUCGAAUGGAAAGGUUUGGAAAUAACGUCAUCCAGGUAGCAUGCUCAGCACUUAAAUGGCCUAAUUCUCAUGUGCUUUUAUGUGAUUAUUAUGUGACCUAUUGUCUUAGUAAAUUAUGAUUAAUUAUGUGAUAAAAGACUUGUGGAGUAAAAUAUGAGAAAAUGAUGAAUUGUUGAAUGAUUUGGAAAUAUAUGUGUUGGUGUGAGAAAUGAUUAUAUGAAUUUGAUAAGGAAAUGGAUAUGAUUAUGUUUGUAAAGUUGGAGGUAAAUAUGUAAAUGUGCAUUAAGGUAAAUGUGGUAUCUGAUAUAGGCUGAUAAGAUAUAUACGAAUAUGAUUACAUGUGAUGAUGUGUGCUCUAUCUGUGAUGAUGUCUGAUGUGUUGUGUUCUGUUGAGAAUUGUCUGAAAUAAAGUAUAUGUAUGCGUGACUGUGCUUAUGCCUUGAUGAGAUGUAUACGAAUAUGUAAUUGCAGUAUGUGAUCUGUAUAUGUUGCUUCUGACACGAAAAAUGUAAAUUUGGAUAUGUGAUGGUAUUGAAAGAGCUGGAAAUUUAUCUGUUUAUCUAAUCUGAUAUGGUAUGAAAAGAAGAUACUGAUGUGUUAUGUUAGUAAUUAUUGAGAAUAAAUAUUGAUAUGAAAAUGAGUAUAUUUGACUGUGUUUACGCCCCGUGCUUGAGUGUGUUCUGUGGGUACAAUUGGCAUGCCAUAGGACAGCAGCGCUGCAUCAUCUGUGAUCUCUCGUCUUCUGGAUAACCGAAGCGAGGAUCGUCUGUUAUCUGAUCUGUCUGAUCUGCACCCUAUGGGUGGUCUGUUCCCGGGAUUAUCUGUCUGCAUCCGAAAUGGAUGGUCUGAUUAUCUGUCUGCACCCUAAUUGGGUGGUCUGUGCGGAGUCAUCUCGAGGACAAAAUCCGCGUCUGUAUCUAAUUCUGAUCUAGUCCGCGUACCCUAGUCUGUCACUAAGCACAUUAUGGGCCCAUAUGUGAAAAUUAUGUGAUAGUGUCGAUCAAAAUAUUCGUGAUGAUAUAUGUGACAAUACGUGUAUGAUAAUAUAUAAGUUAUAAUAUGAGAUUAGGUGAAACAUCUGCUAUAUUAUGAAAAUGGAUUAUGUUACAUGGUUCUGUUGAAUUAUGAUAUAAAUAUUGAGAAUCAGAGACUUGCAGACAUAGUUAUGACAUAUGGGAAUUCUUAUAUUAUUAUACCCUUCUGAUGACAUAGUUGGAAAUGUGAAGUUGUAAAUGAAGAUUUGACUACUGGUACAGGUAUGUUGAUACGUGUAAUGACGUCUGUGAUUUGUCUAUGUUAAUGUGUGGAUAUCAUGUGCAAUAUUUGAUGUUAUAUAUGAAUAUUAAUGACUGUUGAUAUGUUCUGGGAUUGACUUUGCCUACUGGUUGGAUUCUGGACAUGUGUUGGUUAUAGAGGAGAUGCUGCCCAAUUUAUGUUAGAAAUUGGUAAGACAAUAAUAAUAUGAUAUGUGUGGCAAUGAUUGGUAAAUAAAAUAAUACAAAUUUAAAGAAUUUUAAGUUGUAUGAUUAUUGCUUGUAGAGAAUUUUGGCUAUAGUGUUGGGUGUGCUACAGGUUAGUAAGCAUUGGAGGGUAUCGAUCAAUGUUUGUUAUGUUCGUCUCAGCGCUGCAUCCUUGGCGGGUCACUGAGCUCAGCUAGAAACAUAUGUUUCGAAUUGUUAGUUGUGGCAUGUUAGCACUAAAUAUUAUGUUAAAUUACUUUAGCUGUAAUUAUAGAAAUAAUUAUUGAUUUAAAGAUUUGGUUUUGAAUGA